AAGUCGUAACAAGGUUUCCGUAGGUGAACCUGCGGAAGGAUCAUUAAAUAAUUUAGAUGGCCUCCUAGAACUUGUUCUAGUUAGGUUCAUUCUUUUUACUGUGAACUGUUUUAAUUUUCAGCGUUUGAGGAGUGUCUUUUAGUCAUAGGGAUAGACUAUUAGAAUGUUAACCGAGCUGAAGUCAGGUUUAGACCUGGUAUCCUAUUAAUUAUUUACCAAAAGAAUUCAGUAUUAUUAUUGUAACAUAAGCGUAAAAAACUUAUAAAACAA
rnacentral:misc_RNA from 1 species